rnacentral:piRNA from 1 species
UAAACAUGAUUGAGUUUAACUCUGUUGC